UUAAUUGAAAUUUGAUUCUAGUUUGUUUAUAAAUUGCUGUUUAGAUAAUUUUUAUAUGUAAGUUUUUGUGUGAUUUUAAUUUUGCUUAAAUAGUAGGAUUAGGAAAAUUUUUAAUUAAACGCAGUUUUUAUUUUUAUGUAUUUAUUAUAUUAAGACAUGGUUAAUUUUUAUUUAUGGUUAGCAAAUUUUGUGCCAGCAGCUGCGGUUAUACAAUUAACUUAAGUAAUUUUUUUUAGGUAUAGGUAUUAAAGUUAGAAUUUUGAUUAGAAGUUGAAGUUUUUAAGGUAGAAUUUAAAAUUUUUAAUUUUUAUUAGGUAAAUUUUUAUAUUAAUAUGAAAUUCAUAUUUUAAACUAGGAUUAGAUACCCUAUUAUUUUGAAUGUAACUUCUAUUCCUUAGUACUAUUAGUUAAGAUCUUUAAAUUGAAAGAAUUUGACGGUAAUUUGAUCAUUUUAGAGGAACCUGUUCUAUAAUUGAUAAUCCACGAUGAAUUUUACCUUUAAAAUUUAAUAUUGGUUUGUAUAUCUCUGUCUGAUUGAAUGUUUUAUUAGAAAAAUUUUCUUUUAUUUUUAUUGAAAUUUAUGUCAGGUCAAGGUGCAGCUUAUGUAAAGGAUUGAAAUGGGUUACAUUUAAUUUUUAUUAUUAUUGGAUUAAUUUAUGUAUAUAAUUUAUUAAAUUGGAUUUAAUUGUAAUGAAUAAUAUAUAUUAUUCAUGAUAUAUGUUCUUGGUUAAGUACAUAUCGCCCGUCGCUCUCAUUAAUAGAUGAGAUAAGUCGUAACAAAGUAGUCCUACCGGAAGGUGGGGCUAGAUUUAU
rnacentral:ncRNA from 1 species